AAAGGGAUAUGGUUCCAUCCUCAAACUUGCAAUUAGCAACACAAAUAUAUAGCUUUUGAUAGAAAUGGCCAUCCUACGUGCCUCCAAAUUGAUGUCAUUUGCUGCUCUUUUAGCAAUACUCUUACUACUCAUGUCCUUUGAGCUCGGAAGUGCUGCCCAGCCUAGUUUUAAACUCGGGCGAAAACUUUUCCAAACUGGAGAGUUGCCACCAACUUAUGGUUCAUAUCCUGGUGGUGGAGGAUAUACCCCAAAUCCAUGAAAUCAUUAAGCACGAGAAGAGGGAAAUAACCAAUACCCAGUAACCAGUCUACACCAAACUGCAUGCUCUUUGGCUGAAAUAUUGGAGAUGUUAGCAUCCUUCUUUAAUUCUAAGAUUGCAUACAAGCGAAAUAAAAAACAAUUUAAAAAUGUGUGUGUAAUUUCUACUCUACCAGAAUAAUAAUAUACAUGUCAAUUGUCAUGUACUUAAUUUCACCGAACCAUGUGUAUUUACUGCUAUCAGUCACUGGUCACAACCAUUUAGUGGCCCAUACCUGAAUUACAGCAAAUAAAAUUCCUAUUCUCGCUUU